UACGUAGGGUGCGAGCGUUAAUCGGGAUUACUGGGCGUAAAGCGCGCGUAGGCGGCUUUGCAAGUCGAGUGUGAAAUCCCCAGGCUUAACCUGGGAACUGCAUUCGAGACUGCAUAGCUAGAGUAUGGGAGAGGGAAGUGGAAUUUCAGGUGUAGCGGUGAAAUGCGUAGAUAUCUGAAGGAACAUCAGUGGCGAAAGCGACUUCCUGGACCAAUACUGACGCUCAUGUGCGAAAGCGUGGGGAGCAAACAGG
rnacentral:rRNA from 1 species